rnacentral:rRNA from 1 species
UACGUAGGUGGCAAGCGUUGUCCGGAUUUAUUGGGUUUAAAGGGUGCGUAGGCGGCUCCUUAAGUCAGUGCUGAAAUACUCUAGCUUAACUAGAGGGGUGGCAUUGAUACUGAGGAGCUUGAGUGGAGUCGAGGUAGGCGGAAUUGACGGUGUAGCGGUGAAAUGCUUAGAUAUCGUCAAGAACACCGAUAGUGUAGACAGCUUACUAGGCUUCAACUGACGCUGAGGCACGAAAGUGUGGGGAUCAAACAGGAUUAGAU